GGUGGAGAUACUGAGAUUGUAAAGCUUCACAGAAUUCUGGAGGAUGAGGCUCAUAAUAAAAAGAAAUUGGAAGAAGAAAUUUUGAUUCUACAAAGUCAGUUAUUGCAAUUGACUCUGGAAGCUGAACAGACAAGACGACAUCUUGUCAGAGUUGGAUAUGGAAAUGGUUUUGCUGGUUCAGAUUCUUUUGUAUCUCAAAUUAGGCACUCUCAGUUUAAAGACGCCGGGAAUGGACAAAAGGCACCAAUGGCCACACUUUUUGA
rnacentral:misc_RNA from 1 species